GCAAUCUAACGGGUGCUCCCGCGCUGGGGGCUGAGACUACAGACGAGACCGCCUGUAGAACCGUCGAACCUGAUCCGGGUAAUACCGGCGAUAGGAAGGAUAGAAAUUUUGGGUA
rfam:Corynebacterium camporealensis strain DSM 44610, complete genome.